CAGUAGCCGCGGGAAUACGAAGGGUGCAAGCGUUACUCGGAAUUACUGGGCGUAAAGCGUGCGUAGGUGGUGGUUUAAGUCCGUUGUGAAAGCCCUGGGCUCAACCUGGGAAUUGCAGUGGAUACUGGGUCACUAGAGUGUGGUAGAGGAUAGUGGAAUUUCCGGUGUAGCAGUGAAAUGCGUAGAGAUCGGAAGGAACAUCUGUGGCGAAGGCGACUAUCUGGGCCAACACUGACACUGAGGCACGAAAGCGUGGGGAGCAAACAGGAUUAGAACCCCGGUAGUCCCUGUCUCUUAUACA
rnacentral:rRNA from 1 species